CCACUCUCCCUCUCUCAUUCACUAUCAUCUUUUUUUAAGACCAUUCAAAGUGUUCUCUCAAUAUUCAACCUCAAGAACACCAAGGAAAACUUGGAGGCUAAGUCUUGGUCUAGGAAGUAUUUUCCCUAAGUUGGUUAGGGUUUUUGAAAGGUUUUGGAGGAGCCAAAGCUAAUAGGAAGGUCCAAACCUUAAGCAAGAACACCAAAGAGGUAAGAGCAAGGGCAAGGCAGAGCAGUGAGCGCUGGAGUCUUCCUUGCAAAUGUACAUGUGGACCGACCUUUUGGGAAGCCUUUUUAUUUUUGGAAAUGUUGUGUAAUUUUCCUAAACUAGGCUCACUCUAAUCUUUAUAAAACAUGUUUGUAACUAAAUGUUAAGUAUGGCCAUACGACUUUUUAAAAAAGUUUUUUUUUAUACGGGUUUUUGAGACAUUUUGUUAAAUGAAAACAUUUAUAUUUCCGCAU